GAAAGUCUGUGUUGCUGUUGCUGGCCAUGGUGGUAUGAAGAGUUUCACAUUUUUUUGAAAAAUGUUUAGAAUCAAAUUAACCUCUCUCUAAUAUGUCUUUGUCUUAGGCAGCAACUCUAGUGUAUCUAUGUGUCGGAUGUUCAGAGAUGCCAUUUCCUAGCAACUAAAAAUGCUAAUUCAUGACUUUGAUUAAAUUGUCUGGGCUAAGUCAGGCCUCAAAACUGUCUUUUUAUGCCUUGGAUUUAUUUCUCCAUUAAGAUGUAAAAGAAGGGGUUAUUGCUGCAGUUCAGACAUCACAUCAGUCUAGUCACCAACCGUGGGUUACAAAUUGAGGACCAUGCAUAUAAAUAGCAGGAGCAGACCAUCUCCUAAAAAAUGAAGAUUCUGUUUACAUGCAACCAUCCCUGAAGAUUUAUUUUCUAAAGUAAUAACAGGGAAAGUCUGACUGAAUUCUGCAUUUGAAAAGAAAUGGCCAAUUGUCCAUCAGGCUAAUCAGAAGAGUGAAACAAUUCAACAUUAUAUCCUUGAGUCUUAUAUUAUGAGUCAUUUAUAUUCAGUGAAGAUGACUUUCUGGACAUGAGAGGAAACUCAAUGGACCAACUGACUCUAUUGGGAAACUUAAUAGGAAAGAGAAGGACCACUUUGAGGACUAUAGUCAUCAUCAAAUUCAGAAAUCUGAACCUCUAUUAUUAAUAAUUAGGUUUGAAUACCUUUUAAUUUCCUUCAUGCUCCAGGUAUUUCUUGCUUCGUACUCCAGGCACUGGUUUUGAAAGAGAUGGCGGAAAGAAACCGAGAAAAGUCUUAGAAUAUAAGCAGCUGUACUAAGAAAAUAACAAAGGCUCUAGUGUCAAUCAACAGAGCUAAGGAGGAGGAUCUUUGAAAGGAAGACUUUUUCACAUUCUUAACGUGAAUAGCAAUAUAAUAUCUUUGUACAUGUUCUGCAUCCCAUCCAGUUGUUUUCAAAUGUAAAUAAAGUAUAUGUUAGAUA